CGGAAGUUCAGUGAGUGUUCAAUCGGAAUUUUGAAGACAACAAUAACUACAUCAUACCGUGAUUACAGUUUUUCCAAGUAAGGGUUGAAGGGGUUUGUAAUUGGCUACCGGAUGACUUGAAGGAAGAAUAUCUGCAUAGUGUGAAAGUAGUGGAGAAGGUGGUGUUGAGAGCUGUAAUUUUCCCUUGUCUUUCCAUUCUGUUCAUUUGAAAUCAUCUGUGCCAUGGCAGACAUGAAGAUGUGAAUAAGAUAUAUGUGCUUAUUGCUAAACUUUAGUGA